UACGUAGGGUCCAAGCGUUUAAUCGGAAUUACUGGGCGUAAAGCGUGCGCAGGCGGCUUUGCAAGUCAGACGUGAAAUCCCCGGGCUUAACCUGGGAAUGGCGUUUGAAACUACGGAGCUGGAGUGUGGCAGAGGGAGGUAGAAUUCCACGUGUAGCGGUGAAAUGCGUAGAUAUGUGGAGGAAUACCGAUGGCGAAGGCAGCCCCCUAGGCCAACACUGACGCUCAGGCACGAAAGCGUGGGGAGCAAACAGG
rnacentral:rRNA from 1 species